rnacentral:rRNA from 1 species
AUUGAACGCUGGCGGAAUGCUUUACACAUGCAAGUCGAACGGCAGCACGGACUUCGGUCUGGUGGCGAGUGGCGAACGGGUGAGUAAUGUAUCGGAACGUGCCCAGUCGUGGGGGAUAACGUAGUGAAAAUUACGCUAAUACCGCAUACGAUCUAUGGAUGAAAGCGGGGGAUCGCAAGACCUCGCGCGAUUGGAGCGGCCGAUAUCAGAUUAGGUAGUUGGUGGGGUAAAGGCCCACCAAGCCAACGAACUGUAGCUGGUCUGAGAGGACGAACGGCCACACUGGAACUGAGACACGGUCCAGACUCCUACGUGAGGCAGCAGUGGGGAAUUUUGGACAAUGGGCGAAAGCCUGAUCCAGCCAUUCCGCGUGCAGGAUGAAGGCCCUCGGGUUGUAAACUGCUUUUGUACAGAACGAAAAGGUUUCUACUAAUACUAGGAGCUCAUGACGGUACUGUAAGAAUAAGCACCGGCUAACUACGUGCCAGCCGCCGCAGUAA